rnacentral:rRNA from 1 species
UACAGAGGGGGCAAGCGUUAUUCGGAAUUAUUGGGCGUAAAGGGCUCGUAGGUGGCCAACUAAGUCAGACGUGAAAUCCCUCGGCUUAACCGGGGAACUGCGUCUGAUACUGGACGGCUUGAGAUUGGGAGAGGGAUGCGGAAUUCCAGGUGUAGCGGUGAAAUGCGUAGAUAUCUGGAGGAACACCGGUGGCGAAGGCGGCAUCCUGGACCAACACUGACACUGAGGAGCGAAAGCCAGGGGGGCAAACGGG